CUUUACUUCAGCAUUCUCCUUUCAACAGCAGUGAAAUAUCCUUUCACUUCCAUUCCUUCUCACUUACAGCAGACCGCAGUAUUUUUGUUCUCUGUCUUUCCAUCAAUACUGCCAUGGAAUAGAUAGAAAACAAGAAAGUAGCCAAGCAGAAAGGAAAGGAGGACAAAAUAGGAAAAUGGAAGAGAUAAACCAAAGAACUCUUCAACAGUUGAAGUCUUUUUAGAAAUGCUGGAAACAUGGCUUUGGGCAGCAGGAAGCAACACAUCUCAAGAUGAUUCCAGCAAAUCAGCUCUGCUUAUACACAGAAGAAUUUCAUCAUGAACAUAUGAAGAAAUCAAUAGUUCACCCCCAGGCAGCACCAGAAAGCCAGAUCAGCAGCUCACACACUUGUGCACAACCUGUGAGCUGGAGAGUGCUG
rnacentral:lncRNA from 1 species